AUGGCGUCCUUGACAAAUCUCAUACUACUACCACUUCUCUUGCUCGCCACCUUCUCUCCUACACCAUCACUGUGCUAUGUCAGUCCAUCUGCUGCAGGGGUACAUGAGGGUGCUACACAAACAUCUGCCUACCGCACUUACAUUGCGCUCGUCAAGCCACCUCCCUCAGGUACCAACGAAGAGGGGCAUCGUCGGUGGUAUGAGACUUUCUUGCGGAGCUCACACAUCGGCGAAUCUGGGGAGCCACGUCUCCUCCACUCCUACAUCGAGGUGUUCAGCGGCUUCGCGGCGAGGCUCACAGAGGCUGAGCUCGACGCGGUCACCAAGAAGCCGGGGUUCGUGCGCGCGUUCCCAGAUCGGACGCUGCAGCUCAUGACCACGCACACGCCGGAGUUCCUCGGGCUGAGGAAUGGCACCGGAUUUUGGAGCGACGCAGGCUACGGGAAAGGAGUGGUCAUCGGGCUGCUCGACACCGGGAUCUAUGCAACACAUCCUUCGUUCGACGAUCAUGGUGUCCAAUCACCCCCGACAAGGUGGAAGAGCUCGUGCAAGGCGGUCAGGUGCAACAACAAGCUCAUCGGUGCCAACUCAUUUACUGGAGAUAACGACUCGUACGAUUACGUGGGGCACGGAACACACACCUCAUCCACUGCCGCCGGCAACUUCGUCACCGAUGCGUCAGACCAUGGCGUGGGCACGGGCACUGCUUCCGGAAUUGCUCCAGGUGCCCACAUCGCCAUGUACAAGGUGUGCACCGCCGAGGGCUGCGAAGAAUCCGCCGUAGUGGCCGGCCUGGAUGCGGCCAUCAAGGAUGGGGUGGACGUGCUCUCGCUAUCUCUCAGUAGCCUCACCGGUGUCAGCUUCAAUAAGGACCCCAUCGCCAUCGGCGCGUUCAGUGCUAUAUCCAAGGGCAUCAUUGUGGUGUGUGCGGCUGGCAACAAAGGUCCCACUCCACGGCACUGA
rnacentral:rRNA from 1 species